UACGUAGGGAGCAAGCGUUGUCCGGAAUCAUUGGGCGUAAAGCGCGCGUAGGUGGUCACAUAAGUCCGUUGUGAAAGUCAAAGGCUCAACCUUUGAAAGCCGAUGGAUACUGUGUGGCUAGAGUACGGAAGAGGCGAGUGGAAUUCCUGGUGUAGCGGUGGAAUGCGCAGAUAUCAGGAGGAACACCAAUAGCGAAGGCAGCUCGCUGGGACGUUACUGACACUGAGGCGCGAAAGCGUGGGGAGCGAACAGG
rnacentral:rRNA from 1 species